AAAAGACAUGAGUAUCUUCAAAGGGAAACAAAAUGUGUCUCCUGCUGAGAUAUCAUCAUCUGGUACGAAAUCGAAUGAGCACACCCCCAUUUUGACAGACGGCCAUAUGCCUUUUGCAGAAAGGAGUUGACCCCCCACGGGUACCUCUAAAA
ensembl:ncRNA F43G9.17 ncRNA